rnacentral:tRNA from 2 species
GCGGAUAUGGCGUAAUUGGUAGCCGCGCUAGACUUAGGAUCUAGUGCCGAAAGGCGUGGGGGUUCGAGUCCCUCUAUCCGCA